GACGAACGCUGGCGGCGGGCUUAACACAUGCAAGUCGAACGGAAAGGCCCUGCUUUUGUGGGGUGCUCGAGUGGCGAACGGGUGAGUAACACGUGAGUAACCUGCCCUGACUUUGGGAUAACUUCAGGAAACUGGGGCUAAUACCGGAUAGGAGCUCCUGCUGCAUGGUGGGGGUUGGAAAGUUUCGGCGGUUGGGGAUGGACUCGCGGCUUAUCAGCUUGUUGGUGGGGUAGUGGCUUACCAAGGCUUUGACGGGUAGCCGGCCUGAGAGGGUGACCGGCCACAUUGGGACUGAGAUACGGCCCAGACUCCUACGGGAGGCAGCAGUGGGGAAUAUUGCACAAUGGGCGGAAGCCUGAUGCAGCAACGCCGCGUGCGGGAUGACGGCCUUCGGGUUGUAAACCGCUUUCGCCUGUGACGAAGCGUGAGUGACGGUAAUGGGUAAAGAAGCACCGGCUAACUACGUG
rnacentral:rRNA from 1 species